UUUUUUCUUCUCUCACUCAAAAAAUCCUAAUUUGUCCCCUGAUCCCCUCACUCCCUCUCUUUUCUUUGAAUUUCCAACAACCACCAGCCCACCACCCACUAGCCUUCAUCCGAAACCCAUCACUCACACUCGUCGCCGAACCCUUCUCCUUGCCGUGGGUGCCAUCGUCGUCGGUGAAAAAGUCUGCUCGACCAUCUUCUCGACGUUCCUCCUUUCCUGGCCGUCGCACGAAGGGCUGCGUUGAGCUCCUGGCGUCGCCGUCGCAAAGGAUUGAUGGGUCCAUCGGUCGUUGUCUGUCCAAGCUCACUGUCUCUCUGUCCGAGCUCACUUCCUUGUUCGAGCUCUCUCUCUCUCUGGCUCUUUCUGUUUGAGCUCACUUCCCUUCUCCGUCACUGUCACUUCCGAUUCCGUCGUCGACGUCACUUCCUUUCUCCCUUGCUGCCGCUGAAAUUGAAGGAGCAUAUGCAAUACUGCAUCAAUCACCCUGAGGAGAUAAGCAAGCUUGCCAAGGUACAGAACCAAGUCUCUGAAGUUAAGGGUGUCAUGAUCGAGAAUAUUGAAAAGGUACAUACAGAUGCCUUGCAAGUUGCGAUUUAUCGGCACUGCCCACACUGCUGUGUUAAUUGGCUUAUGGCGAUAUAGUUGUUAUUGCUGAAAUCAAAAAGAUUAAAUUGGUGGAUCAUAGAUUUUAUGUUUCUACAAAGUAUAGAUGUUGUUUAAACGUUCAAAAUAAAAAAGACAUGUCAUAACACAAAGUGGAUCUUUAGAAAAUUAACAUAAUACUUAAACAUCAUAAAUGAGACUGUUAUAUUAGUUUAGUCAGCAACUUUUUCAAACUUCUCAAACUCAUGCUGUUAUAGAGUGUUAAUAUUUUAACUAGUUCUGAUUAAGCAUGUCAGAUUUAGAUCCGAGGUAUUAUCAGUUAUAUAUUCUUAUUCUUUUUGGAUUUUAAGUCAUUGUAGAAACGUGAGAAUUUUGUUUCAA